rnacentral:rRNA from 1 species
CCUACGGGAGGCAGCAGUGGGGAAUAUUGCGCAAUGGCCGCAAGGCUGACGCAGCGACGCCGCGUGGGGGAUGAAGCAUUUCGGCGUGUAAACCCCUGUUGCCCGGGACGAACCGCUCGUUUCGACGAGUCUGACGGUACCGGGUGAGGAAGCACCGGCUAACUCCGUGCCAGCAGCCGCGGUAAUACGGAGGGUGCGAGCGUUGUCCGGAAUCACUGGGCGUAAGGGCGCGUAGGCGGUCUGCUAAGCGUGUGGUGAAAGCUCGGGGCUCAACCCUGAGUCGGCCAUGCGAACUGGUGGACUGGAGCACUGUAGAGGCAGGUGGAAUUCCGGGUGUAGCGGUGGAAUGCGUAGAGAUCCGGAAGAACACCGGUGGCGAAGGCGGCCUGCUGGGCAGUAGCUGACGCUGAGGCGCGACAGCGUGGGGAGCAAACAGGAUUAGAUACCCUGGUAGUCCACGCCGUAAACGAUGGGGACUAGGUGCUUGGGGGAACGACCCCCCGAGUGCCGGCGCUAACGCAUUAAGUCCCCCGCCUGGGGAGUACGGCCGCAAGGCUGAAACUCAAAGGAAUUGACGG